rnacentral:rRNA from 1 species
GACGAACGCUGGCGGCGUGCCUAAUACAUGCAAGUCGAGCGAACAGACGAGGAGCUUGCUCCUCUGACGUUAGCGGCGGACGGGUGAGUAACACGUGGAUAACCUACCUAUAAGACUGGGAUAACUUCGGGAAACCGGAGCUAAUACCGGAUAAUAUAUUGAGCCGCAUGGUUCAAUAGUGAAAGACGGUUUUGCUGUCACUUAUAGAUGGAUCCGCGCCGCAUUAGCUAGUUGGUAAGGUAACGGCUUACCAAGGCGACGAUGCGUAUCCGACCUGAGAGGGUGAUCGGCCACACUGGAACUGAGACACGGUCCAGACUCCUACGGGAGGCAGCAGUAGGGAAUCUUCCGCAAUGGGCGAAAGCCUGACGGAGCAACGCCGCGUGAGUGAUGAAGGUCUUCGGAUCGUAAAACUCUGUUAUUAGGUAAGAACAAAUGUGUAAGUAACUAUGCACGUCUUGACGGUACCUAAUCAGAAAGCCACGGCUAACUACGUG